GAAACCGUUCAGGGGUAAACCUGAGAAACCCAAAAGAUCGAAUGGGGAGAUUCAUCGUCGACGAGGCUGGCUUCCGUUGGCGCGCAGAUACCCCGCGUAUGGACCUUCGCGGUUCCAAUGCGCGAGGGUACACCGCCUUCGGCCUAAAUGUUCCGGCAACGUAGUCGUGCACUUCUCCCUUAGUAGAACGUCGCGACCCGUUGCGUGUCGGUCUACGGCCCGAGUGGUUGCCUGCCGCGUCGCCUUUGGCGCACGCGACAGACCCUCGAUCGCCCGGCCGGCUGCGCGACGGUACUCUGACGGUAUCGGGCCGCAACCAAUCCAUUUUCGAAUGUGUGUGCGUCAGGCCCGCCGCAAGCUCGAUCAGUAUACCCUCGGAGGUACGGACCUGGUGCCGGCUCCGAGCCUGGUCAGCUGUUGGCAGGCGGUGUCCUCGGACUGGCCAAGCUUCGAAUUACCGGUCGGCGACGCUACUGCUUUGGGUACUCUCAGGACCCGUCUUGAAACACGGACCAAGGAGUCUAACAUGUGCGCGAGUCAUUGGGAUAUUGUAAACCUAAAGGCGGAAUGAAAGUGAAGGUCGUCCUUAGCGUCGACCGAGGGAGGAUGGGCCGCGUUGCCGAUGCGGCCUCGCACUCCCGGGGCGUCUCGUUCUCAUUGCGAGAAGAGGCGCACCCAGAGCGUACACGUUGGGACCCGAAAGAUGGUGAACUAUGCCUGGUCAGGACGAAGUCAGGGGAAACCCUGAUGGAGGUCCGUAGCGAUUCUGACGUGCAAAUCGAUCGUCGGAACUGGGUAUAGGGGCGAAAGACUAAUCGAACCAUCUAGUAGCUGGUUCCCUCCGAAGUUUCCCUCAGGAUAGCUGGCACUCGCUUGUUCCUCCGUGAACUUGUGCGAGUUUCAUCUGGUAAAGCGAAUGAUUAGAGGCCUUGGGGCCGAAACGACCUCAACCUAUUCUCAAACUUUAAAUGGGUGAGAUCUCUGGCUUGCUUGGAUCAAUGAAGCCACGAGAUUUAUGAAUCAGAGUGCCAAGUGGGCCAAUUUUGGUAAGCAGAACUGGCGCUGUGGGAUGAACCAAACGCAGAGUUAAGGCGCCUAAGUCGACGCUUAUGGGAUACCAUGAAAGGCGUUGGUUGCUUAAGACAGCAGGACGGUGGCCAUGGAAGUCGGAA
rnacentral:rRNA from 1 species